rnacentral:rRNA from 1 species
GACGAACGCUGGCGGCGUGCUUAACACAUGCAAGUCGAACGCUGAACCCGCUUCGGUGGGGGUUUAGUGGCGGACGGGUGCGUAACACGUGGGCAACCUGCCCCCGGCUCUGGGAUAACUCCAAGAACUUGGGGCUAAUACCGGUUGUGACCGCUGGCCGCAUGGUCUGGUGGUGGAAAGGGUUUCCGGCUGGGGAUGGGCCCGCGGCCUAUCAGCUUGUUGGUGGGGUAGUGGCCUACCAAGGCGACGACGGGUAGCCGGCCUGAGAGGGUGACCGGCCACACGGGGACUGAGAGAGGGAGCAGACGGCAACGGGAGGCAGCGGUGGGAAGUAUGACGCAGUAAGCGGGAGCCUGACACAAAGACGCCGCGUGGGGGAUGACGGCCUUCGGGUUGAAAACAUCUGUCAGCGGAGACGAAGCGCAAGUGACGGUACCUACAGAAGAAGCACCGGCCAACUACGUG